rnacentral:lncRNA from 1 species
GGGAUGUAGUAAUGGUGAAUUGGAGCUCCCAUGGAAACAUCUGCCAGGUAGGAAGAGCAAGUUCUGAAAAUGCAUGACGUUAGUCCAGGGGAGACUCUAACCUGAAUGCUACAGCCUUUGUCAUACUCAUCCACUGCCUCUCACACAGAUGGGAAUGGUGGUGUCUGCAAACCAGAAGGGACUGCCUAUAGUCCUAUAGCCUUGCUUAUUCCCUCCAGCAACCACUACUGGCAAAGCCUAAAUUUUCACAAAGGAGAAAUGUUACCUGGCCCAGCUCCAACAUCAGGAAGCGGUGCAAAGGAGAGAUUGAGAGACACUGGAUUUGUAACCAAAAUGGAGUCUAACUCUGUCACCCAUGCCGGAGUGCAGUGACACGAUCUUGGCUCACUACAACCUCUGCCUCCAGGGUUCAACCAAUUCCUUGGCUCACCCUCCUGAGUAGCUGGGAUUACAGGCAACUGCCACCAUGCGAGGCUAAUGUUUGUAUUUUUAGUAGAGAUGGGGUUUCACCAUCUUGGCCUGACUGGUCUUGAACUCCUGACCUCAUGAUUCAUCUGCCUUGACCUCCCAAAGUGCUGGGAUUACAGGUCCCACCCCACUCCCAGUCAAACCUCUUUCAUUUGUAAAUUGCUUGAUCUUGGCUAUGUCUUUAUCAGUGGCAUGAAACAGACUAAUACACAAAUAAAACAUCAAAAAGAAUAAAAAGUAAUGUGCAGUACAAAAGAGACUAAUAUAGCAACAUGCUUUGCAUCAAAAAUAAUAAGUGGUAGAAAAUACUGAUUUAUUACUUGCAAACAUUUUAGUGCAAUAUUUUAAGAGUAUAUUAUAGACAUCUAAACAAACAUUCAAUCUAGGGUGCAAAAAGCAUUUUUAUGCAAGUAAGCACACUGAGCAUUUAUUCCCCUGGUAGUUAUUUUUAGGAAUUUAUUUGAUAAUUUAAUUCAGAAAAAUAGGGGAGUAAUUUAAGAGCAGAGGUUGUGAUGCCCAGCUCACAGUACUUCAAAACCUGUAAACAAAGUGAGUCAACAAGAAGACAGCUGUAUAGAAAAAUAUUGAGGAAUGAGUUCCUCAUAAAAUAGAGUGCUCCAGAACAGAGAUCUUUAGGGGAAAAGAAAGAUGAAAAUGAGCAUGGAAGAGAACAGGCAAUUUGAUUGAGAACACACACAAACAUUAAGGAUGUAAUAAAGGGAAUCAUUUCAAACAGAAAGUAAGAAUAAAGAGAAACUCCUGGAAAAAGUAAAAAAUACCACCUUGGACAAAACCCAAAUGUCAAAUUUGUAUUCCAGAUGUGAUCAAACAUAUUGUGGCAAGCAAAGUUUAAAAAAAAAUAGGAAUUUUAACAAAAAGACACAUGUUAAGAUCAUUUACAUUUCCAUGUUUAAAGGAUAUGGCAUUAGAUCUAUUUAAAAAUUACAUCAAAACACAUAUUGGGCUUAUAAUAUACUAUGUUUAUAUAGCAGUUGCAAUAUAAAUGUUGUUUUAAGUUUUAUAACCAAAGCACAGGAUAAUUUAAUAAUGGAUCCAUGAUAUAAAUGAAUGCUAAAGACAGUGACAAUGUACAUGUAAAUAUUCUUUAUUAAAAUUAGGAUAGGGAAAUGGAAUGAGAAAACUAGAAGCUUGUGAAACUCAUCAGUCUUAAAAUGUGGAGAGUCCAGAGACCUGUGACAAAUUCAAUUGAAGUAGACCUCAUAUAUUAUUUAACAUAUUUCCGAUAUUAAAAGUUAUAUUAAGCACCAAGUAGUAGAGUAGUAAAUAUAGAGUCUAAAUUUGACAAAUCAAUGACAAUACUAAAAAUUAUAUUGUUAGAAUUAUGCAUAUAACCACAGGAAUAAUUAAAACAAAAGUAGCUGAAAGAGUUUAUCAUGGUGAGUGGGACUGGAAGUAAAAAGAGAAUACGCUGAAGAACAUUGCUUCUGUUUGGAAGAUAGUCUCUAUCAUUUUCUAUGUUUUAAAAAUAUUGCUUUGAAUAUGGUUCCAAAGGUUAAUACCUCAUUUUGCAUCCAUAAAAUAAUAUGCUUGAAAAUAUGUAAAUUUUCAUCUGCAUUAUGCUAUUGCCUUAUCCCUUAGAUAGGUU